rnacentral:piRNA from 1 species
UGUGGUUUUUAAUCCCGUAUA